rnacentral:rRNA from 1 species
UACAGAGGGGGCAGGCGUUAUUCGGAAUUAUUGGGCGUAAAGGGCGCGUAGGCGGCCUGGCAAGUGACGGGUGAAAUCCCUCGGCUUAACCGAGGAACUGCCUGUCAGACUGCUUGGCUUGAGACCGGGAGAGGUGAGUGGAAUUCCCAGUGUAGCGGUGAAAUGCGUAGAUAUUGGGAGGAACACCAGUGGCGAAGGCGGCUCACUGGACCGGAACUGACGCUGAGGCGCGAAAGCGUGGGGAGCAAACAGG